rnacentral:piRNA from 1 species
UGGUGCAGAGAGAAAUGGAAGAGAAGA